GAACCAAACCAAGGCGGGCCCACCUGCUGACUGACUGAACCCUGCUAUUCUUGCUCUGUGCGCGUGAGCCUCCCUCUCUGGGGAGGGUAAGGGUAAGGGCAAGGGCAAGGCAAGAUGAUUUGGGGAGGAAGCAGAUGAAGAUCUGAGGGUGGCGGGCGGACGGGCGGACGGGUAGGCAGGCAGGUAUAUAGCGAAGAAGGCGGCGAGGCGAAGGGAAGGUGCGCGUGGUUGGCGGAGGACGAGAAGCUAAGGGGGCUCCGGGGUCGUCGUCGGGUUGGGUCGGGGAAGAAGACGAAGAACAACAACAAAAACCACGCCACGCACUCGUACCGGUAGCUGGUGCUCAGCGGGAAGUUCCUCGAGGCGGAGUUUUUGUCCUCCUAGUACCCUCCGCCGCGGGGACUCGGCCUGCUUCUCCUCCGCCUCGGCGUCCACCGCCGCCGCCGCCGCCUCCUCGUCACCGGCGUCACCGACGCGGGCGACGACAGGCGCGCGAAGAAGCGCGUUACGUUCUGCGUGUGGCUCAGCGUGGCCUCGCCGCUCACGUUGUACAAGACGGAGCUGACGCGGCGGCCCCGGCGGCGGCCCCGCCGCCGCGACACGAGCGACACGGAGCGCGUGCGCGUGGCGCCGGUGGUGUGGUAGGUCUAGGCGGCGAGGAGGAUGGUGCUGCAGUAGGCCCACAGCCUGUAGGUCGCGAAGUACCUGUAGCGGCCGCACGUCUGGAUGCAGUAGUUGUCGCGCGCGCAGCAGAAGGAGUUGCUCGCGGGGGUCGUCUUCGUCGGGCCGUUCCCGCCGCCGCCGCGGCCGUCGCGGUUGGAGACGCUCCAGACGUCGGCGUCGGAGGAGCUGUUGAAGGCGAAGACGAGGGAGCCGACGUUCCAGCGGCCGACGAGGAGGCUGCCCCCGCCGUUGCUGUUCCGCUCCCACUACGCCCGGUUGUCCGGGCCGGCGCGGUUCCCGAGCAGCCUGUGGCUCCGCCGAAGGAGGAGGAGAGGAGACGCGUUACGGCGGUCUGUCUCGAAGUGCGGCAGGUGCGGCGGCGGCGGCGGCGGAGGUCGCCGGUUCGCCGCGUUCCCGUAGGGCGUGGCGCGCGGCAAGCCCUUGGAGUAGUAGCUGAUGAUCCGCGCGUGGUGGGCGGUAACUGUUUCGACGCUAGGCGUGCGGGUCAACGUCUCACUUACCUCACUCUUUCGCCGGUGGUGAAGCCACAGGCGGUAACGGAAGCCAACACGAAGAGCUACACCUAAGGUGGUAAUCGAAAAGUCCCUCUUUCGUCCGUCCCUUCUUUCCCUCCACCUACCUACCUUCGUGUCGACUUUUUCGUGGUCGGAAAAGAAUGACGAAUAUUAGUAGUAGUGAUCCUGUCUUUGGUUUUUAAUGGUGUGGUGUCUCUCUAAUGACAUAUACUAAUACCAGGACGAGAUGAUAAAGAUGGUGUGAUCUGAACUCAAAACACUAUUUACAAAAAUCCAUUAUGGUCCGUUACGCGGUCACCAUUCGAUCGAUCUCAUUAUUCGUUAACGGUGAACAAUUAGUCCAAAACACUAUCGAACACGAAAGAAGUAGACAUUUAUACCUCACGACCCUCUCCUACUGACGAACAAUUCUUUAUACCACAACGAGUUGGAACUUAGAAGAAAGGUAUACCCAGUUA
rnacentral:rRNA from 1 species